AUUGAACGCUGGCGGCAGGCCUAACACAUGCAAGUCGAACGAGUGGCGGACGGGUGAGUAAUGUCUGGGAAACUGCCUGAUGGCGGGGGAUAACUACUGGAAACGGUAGCUAAUACCGCAUACCCUCAGAUGUGCCCAGAUGGGAUUAGCUAGUUGGGGGGGUAACGGUUCACCAAGGCGACGAUCCCUAGCUGGUCUGAGAGGAUGACCAGCCACACUGGAACGGAGACACGGUCAGGACGCCUACUGGAGGCAGCAGUGGGGAAUAUUGCGCAAUGGGCGCCAGCCUGAUGCGGCCACGCCGCGGGUUUGAAGAAGGCCUUCGGUGUGUAAUGUACUUUCGGCGGGGAGGCGUUACCAGCAGAAGAAGCACCGGCUAACUCCGUGCCAGCAGCCGCGGUAAUAC
rnacentral:rRNA from 1 species